rnacentral:rRNA from 1 species
GAUGAACGCUGGCGGCGUGCUUAAUACAUGCAAGUCGAACGGAGGUAUGUAGCAAUACGUAUCUUAGUGGCGAACGGGUGAGUAACACGUUGGUGACCUACCCCAGAGAGGGGGAUAACAGCUCGAAAGGGCUGCUAAUACCCCAUGCCGUCAUGGCGUUUAGAAAGCCAUGCCGAAAGGUGCAAACCGCUCUGGGAGGGGCCUGCGUCCCAUCAGCUAGUUGGUAAGGUAAAGCUUACCAAGGCGAAGACGGGUAGGGGGCCUGAGAGGGUGACCCCCCACACUGGCACUGAAACACGGGCCAGACACCUACGGGAGGCUG